AAGUAAAAAAAGCCCCACCCACGGGUAUUGCAUUGCCAGCAGCGGCUACUAGAGCAGCUUAUUCUUGAACGACUCGUCCGAAAACACUAUCACCAGUUUCCGAUGUCCUUCUUAGUCGCUUGCACAAGUCACUGCCACUCCUUGCGCACCCUAUUAGGGUUUGCUUGCAGCAGAAGAAGCGUCAUCUCUAUUUACACAAAAGCAUUCGAUCAUUCCUUCUCUCUACAUUGCAUUUCGAUUGAUCUCUAGGUUCCAGGAUUCCAUUCUUGACUACAUGGAAAAUGCCAGAUGAUUAUUGGUUUACCAAUUUCCUCAUGAUGUGAAAACCUUUUUUAAUUAUAGGAUAACCAUGGAGAAUUCCUCACCUGGAUGAGGAAGUAUUAGAACAAAUUGACUGAUUCUGGAAAGGAGUCUAAGAAAUAGAGGAAUUUGUAGAAGGUGUCAUCUGGAAUGACAAAUAAAAUUGGUUUGAUAAAUCACAAUAAUAAAAAAAGGCAAUUGAUUUGGACAUCCAUUAUUUGUCAAGUGGAAUAUCUUGCAAAGCCAAUCCUUCUUCACAAUUUCUUAUGCAUUUUGCUUAUAAAAAAUGGAAAAUUCUUAGGCAGUUUCUACAAUUAAUCUUACGUGAGUGUAUAUUAAUGUUAAUAAAAAAAAAGGGAAAAUGUCAAAUGAAAAAAAAUAAAUAAAUCAGUAGAUUAUAAAGAAUAAGGGAGAAGAAAUUAGAAGUGCGAGAACUGAGAAGAAAUAAUGGAAAGGAGAACGAAGAGAGUAGAACCAAGGAGCAUUCAUGGAGAUCUUGCAGGAGCAAAGUGAAGAUGUUGAAGCUACCUAUGCUAGGGUGAACUACCACUGAUGGUUUAGAAGUCUGAGAUCCUGCGGUCAGAGUUAGUGUUAGUCAUCUUAGCAACAAAAACACCUUUGAGGCUUUCAUCACAAGCUCUGGCACAUUGAAGGUGCAUUGGUCCGGUGCAUUGAAGGCGCACUGGAAGCGCGCCUUAGGGUCAGCCUUGAAGCAUGCCUCACUAAUAAAAUUAGAAUUGCAUUGCCGCUUGCUCAUGAUAUUGGUGUGAAGGAAAAAUCCAAAACAUGCUUUACAAAUUAAUGAACAAACAUGAGCAUCGAACCAUUUAAUAGGUUGGUGAAGCUUGCAACUAGGGCAUUUUAUGAUGAUAUAACAACCAAGGGAGACAACCAACCUAAGACUGGGAGGAGCGAUAACCGGGGCAUUGUUGUAGUGAUGCUUGAUGCUCUCACAAGAUAUAUGUUGUGAGGUAUAGAUUGCAUCGUAUGAAGAAAAAACUAAAAGAUGAACUGGAGGACAAGGACACAUCAGGAGUAUAUAUGCUCCACUUGUGGGAAAAGAUACAAUGCUUUAGAUGCACUGCGACUGAUAUCUAUGGAAGAUGAAUAUUUUCACUGUGAAAGUUGCAAUGGAGAACUUGUAGCGGAGAGUGACAAGUUAGCUUCUCAAGAGAUAGGUGAUGGGGAUGACAAUGCCAGGAGGCGGUGACAUGAAAAAUUGAAAGACAUGCUUCAAAAAAUGGGAACCCUUCAUUUCAUCUUAUUCCUCAAUAAAUCAGCUAGUGCUCUCCGAGGACUCACCACAUCGACAUUUGUCAUUUUGUCUCAAUCUCGCCUCUCUGUUAUGCAUAUAUACUAUCAUAAAUUAUACAUGAAACCCUGACAGCAUGUAGUGCACAAGAUCACUGGUCCCAUUCAAGAACUCCAAUUUCAUACUUUUUGAGUAUGCUUUACUAAAUUGCUUUUGAAAAUAUCUGUCCAAAAAUUUGAAAUUAUUGAGAAUUUUGGAAAAUUCCGGAGGUUGUUGUGGUUGUUGACAUUGUUAAUGUUUUUAUUGCAAUUCUAUUCAAAUGUUUCCUAA